AUAGGGAGGGAGUUCUCACAAGAUCUGAUGGUUUAAGCGUGGCAGUUUCCCCUGAGCUCUCCUUCCUGCUGGUAUGUAAGGCGUGCUUUGCUUCCUCUUCACCUUCCGCCAUGAUUGUACAUUUCCUGAGGCCUCCCCAGCCAUGCAGAACUGCAUACAACUUAGGAUUCAUAACUACAUAUAUACGGAUAGAAGUGCAUGAACAGAAAAUCUGCCCUUCUGGAAUACCAAAUGCAAAAUUAAAGUGACUACAAGCAGAAUUUGGAGAAAAAAAUAAAAGAUGCAAUAUAGUUUUUAAAAUCAUUGUUAAAAUAUAAUGAGUCUGUACUUUGCUUAAACAAUAAAAAAG
rnacentral:lncRNA from 1 species